GAAAAAGUAUCCACAUAACCAAAAUAGGUAGAGAUGGGAAAGAAGGGGGAAAAGAAGAAUGCAAUGAAAAUAUGCAACUAAAGCUACCUAAAUGCAACACACAAUGACGAACACACAAAACAGAACAUCACACUCACAACACAAGACAAGACACAACACACACUAACACAACAAAAGACCUAAAACCGAACCAUUGGUUCUCGGCAACGGCGCCAAAAUUUUGAUGGGUGUCGCACCCCAUGCAAAAUUUAAUGGCAUAAAAGAACGUAGUAUAGACUAGGAAGUGACUCCUAGGUCGUCUCUCAAGGACCAAAU
rnacentral:lncRNA from 1 species